rnacentral:rRNA from 1 species
GACGAACGCUGGCGGCGUGCUUAACACAUGCAAGUCGAACGGAAAGGCCUGCUUUCCCUUGUGGAUUGCGGGUACUCGAGCGGCGAACGGGUGAGUAACACGUGAGUGAUCUGCCCCCAACUUGGGUAUAAGCCCGGGAAACUGGGUCUAAUUCCCGAUAGGACUGCAGGGUGGUGCCUGUGGUGGAAAACGAUUUUCUAGUGGUUGGGGAUGAGCUCGCGGCCUAUCAGCUUGUUGGUGGGGUAAUGGCCUACCAAGGCGGCGACGGGUAGCCGGCCUGAGAGGGUGGACGGCCACAUUGGGACUGAGAUACGGCCCAGACUCCUACGGGAGGCAGCAGUGGGGAAUAUUGCACAAUGGGCGGAAGCCUGAUGCAGCGACGCCGCGUGGGGGAUGACGGCCUUCGGGUUGUAAACUCCUUUCGACCGCGAGGAAGCCACCUGGUUGGAAGGGUGGUGACGGUAGUGGUAGAAGAAGCACCGGCUAACUACGUG